AUUGAGAAACAUACCAGGCCAAACACAUCAACACAACAUAGAAAAAAAUACAUACACUACCCACCCCAACUCACGCCCUGACCAAACAAAGACAUAACAAAGGAACUAAGGUCAGAAUGUGACACGCAGGGAAAACACACCAGCUCACAGAAGUCUUGAACACUAAACAAAGAACAUACACGCACAAAACCAUAUGGGAACUAGAGGGUUAAAUAGGGAAUACAUUAUAACGUAAUGGGAACCAGGUGUGUACAAUCAAAACAAAACAAAUGGAAAAAGAAACGUAGAUCGGUGGCAGCUAGAAAGCCGGUGACGACGACCGCCGCCCGAACAAAGAGAGGUACCAACUUUGGCGGAAGUCGUGACACUCAUAUCCUGGCAAGUGUGGGGGAAAAAAUAUUCCCCUGCCUAAAGGAGGGGCUCCGCACGAAGAUGGACACUACACUGACAAUCAUCUUUGCAGUGGCGGUUCUGUAUAACUUAGGCAAGAGACAAGCUACCUGAGGAAGCUGAGGAGGUCCUACCUGAGAGGAAUGAAGAUGGCCAGGUGCAACAUGCUGCCAAUGCAAAUGGGAAUGCUGUGAGAACCUUGAUUGAGAACCAUUUAGCAGCCUAAGGGUGGAACUGGAAGUACCAGAACACAAGAGUGGAGACAAGACUGGAGGAUACCAAAUCGCUUGGGAAAGCAUUGUUUUAAUAAAUAAUUCCUUAAAUAAAUAAAAAUAUUCUUUACACAGUGGGCAUUUGUUUCCCUGAAGGGGCUUCUGAAUUUGCAAUAGCUCUUUUUGUAAAUUCAGGACCUCAAUCUGCAGUAGAAUUCUCUCUCUCCAGCUACAAAACAUCAAUAUGAGCUUGGUUCAUGUCAGUUCUGGGGCUUUUUGUUUGGCCUGUCCGGUGUUUUUGCUGCUGGCACGCAAAAUCCAGGCACUGCUGUUUCUCCAUGGCACAGUGUGUCAGCUACAACAAUUGAAUUGGGCCCUAUAUGCCCAGCCUUGGUACAAAUGAUGAUGUUAUGUGACAUGCUGUAACGGGCCUGAUAACAGUAACAUUGUGAAGUAGCAUUAACAUUUGUUUUAACGUGCAUUAUAGUCAUUGACAUUUACCAGUUAUUUAUACUUACUAAAUAUUGGUGGUUCGAGUUGUCCGUCAUCAUCAUAGGGGUUAGGGAGAGGGGAAAACUGCUGGGGAAUCAUCUCACAUAUCUUCUGGGAGAGAGAAUCAAUUCCCUUAGAAGGAGACCCCCUCUGGUCUGAAAUAGCCCCCGCCUCUCCUCCGCCGCAUCCUUUUUGGCUUUCACUUUUACGUUUUUCGAGCACUUUCAUCUGAUUUGGGUCCCACUUUUCUUUAAUCCGUGUCGAACCAUUAAAUCUGUCGCAUAAAAUG